UACGUAGGGGGCGAGCGUUAUCCGGAUUUACUGGGUGUAAAGGGGGCGCAGACGGCGAUGCAAGCCAGGAGUGAAAGCCCGGGGCCCAACCCCGGGACUGCUCUGGAAACUGCGUCGCUGGAGUACGGGAGGGGCAGGCGGAAUUCCUGGCGUAGCGGUGAAAUGCGUAGAUAUCAGGAGGAACACCGGCGGCGAAGGCGGCCUGCUGGACCGUGACUGACGUUGAGGCUCGAGAGCGUGGGGAGCAAACAGG
rnacentral:rRNA from 1 species